rnacentral:rRNA from 1 species
UACAGAGGUCCCAAGCGUUGUUCGGAUUCACUGGGCGUAAAGGGUGCGUAGGUGGCUUGAUAAGUCUGAUGUGAAAUCUCGGAGCCCAACUCCGAAACGGCAUCGGAUACUAUUAAGCUAGAGGUCUGGAGGGGAGACUGGAAUUCUCGGUGUAGCAGUGAAAUGCGUAGAUAUCGAGAGGAACGCCAAUGGCGAAGGCUAGUCUCUGGACAGAUCCUGACACUGAGGCACGAAAGCUAGGGGAGCAAACAGG